rnacentral:rRNA from 1 species
UACGUAGGGGGCAAGCGUUAAUCGGAAUUACUGGGCGUAAAGCGUGCGCAGGCGGCUUGCCAAGUGAGAUGUGAAAGCCCCGGGCUUAACCUGGGAACGGCGUUUGAAACUGGCAGGCUAGAGUUUGGCAGAGGGGGGUGGAAUUCCACGUGUAGCAGUGAAAUGCGUAGAGAUGUGGAGGAACAUCGAUGGCGAAGGCAGCCCCCUGGGCCAAAACUGACGCUCAGGCACGAAAGCGUGGGGAGCAAACAGG